UCAGCCGAAUUGCCCGGAAUUUCUGGGAACCCUGGAAUGUCGGGGAUGGAUUGCAUCCCGCCGGCCGGAGCUGCCCCCGCUGACCCCCACCUGCUCAUCUGAAUCUUCUUCAGCAUCAUGGGAAGAUCACAGGUGUCACCUUGGCCUUCUGCAAUUGCUGCCACGUGACUGCUGCUGCUGACAUAGCUUUGGGGAUUUCCACGCACUGGGUAGAGGAGAAAGGAGAGGAAAGAUGGGACUGGGGAAGGGGUGGAUUUUUGCAACAAGUUUGCCGCAUGCUUAGCCACAUAUUUGGAGGAGGCCUGAUAGUGUUCCAUUAUUUUUUUUUUGCAUGACUUGGAGGGCUGCAGCCCAAGUGUCCCAAAAGUGAGUUGAAAAAUCCAGAAAAGUGGGGAUGCUUCUCCUCCCCGGCAACCCUGGCCAUUCUCAUCCAGAAGGCAUUUUCUGCCGCAGAGGACCCAGAUCCUCUAAGCUGGCUUUCCUGUGGCUGUUGUCAUGCAUUCUCGAGUUGCCACUGACUCCUGGCAAACGCCCUCCAGGCUGUCCUGUUUCUAGCCACGAUGCCGCGAUCUUGCAGGCGAGUUGGGUUUGCGGUCUAGCAAACCGAAGGCCAGCUCCCCCAUCAGUGAGUGGUUAUGGAACCAGGUUGUAAAGACUUGGUCCUCCCCGUCGGUAUGUUUGCUUUGCCUGCAUUAACCCUGUAAGCCAUCAUGUAUUCAGAAGAUUCUCUGUUCAAAUGAAUAAAUCUGUGCGCAAAGUG